GUGACCUCCCCUCUACUGGUGGUUUCAGUACGACGUGAGGCCACACGCUUGUACUUAAACAUUAUUUUAGUAAAUCAAGGUCCGUGCUUAGACUUCUAUAAUAAAGUGUCAUGUGCAGAAAGGAAAUGUGCGUUGUACGCACGGUCGUACCACGGUGACGUUAGUGUAAUGAAAAAAAAAGCGUAAUAACAAUGUGUGAUUCUACUUCGACUUCUCAUUUUCAUAAACAAAAAAAGAACAGACGAGAGGCACCGGAGAGCAACGAAAACCAUUCAAAAAGCAAGAAGCAAGAGAGGAAAUGCGAUUCCACUUCUAAGAGAGGAGACAGAAACAAGCGAAAAGAAAAGAGAAAGAGAGAUGCGAGUCGUGAUAGUUAUGAAGAGCCAGAACAAACUCGUGUUCAGGAUGCUGAUGCAGACAGACAUCGCACAGGAAGGAAACACAAGGAUCGAAAACACCAACGUCAUAAAAGAGAGGAAAGGGAAUCGCAAGAAAUGGAAAACAUUCGUAGUCAGAUUUCAUCACCUGUUAGAAAAACUGCAAUAGACGAUAAUUUUGAAGGUACAGACAAGAAGUAUCGCGAAUCGACAAUACCUUUUAAAAGUGAUGCAAAGUCUUCGCCGAAGUCCUCUGGUCUGAGUGAAGAAAACGAAUAUCAGGAUUACAACUUUGAUUUUGCGAAGUACAAACACUCUUUGAACAGAAUAUUCUUCCGAGAUAAGGACAUGAUCCAAAGAGGAUCAAAAGAAUAUGAAGAUUUCUGGGCAUUUCUUGAAAAGUAUCUGCAAUAUCAAAAGAAGAAACAUCAAGAGAGUGUUGCAGGUUCUGCAAAAGUAUCGCAUGCAAUACCAGGAACAUUGAAUAUACCCAACAAGUAUGACUGUCUGUACCGGAUUAACUUGAGUCUUAUAAGCCGUGAUGUGGAAGAUUUUAUCAAGAAAGGCCGACUUGUGGAUUAUGAUGUGGACCAAGAAUUAACUCGAGAGCAUGUCAGACAGUUCCAUGGCAUUCUGCAGCAUUAUCUAGACUUCACACAGAAACAAAAGUUUCAGAAGUUGAAAAAGAUUAAGCGUGAUCAGAAGAACCUUCCUAUUUACCAAUACUGUGAACAAAUCAUUGCCACCAUCCAUCAGCACCAAGUAGUGGUUGUUGCUGGAGACACUGGCUGUGGAAAAUCUACACAGGUUCCUCAGUACCUUUUGGAAGCAGGGUUUACAAAGAUAGCCUGUACCCAGCCUCGUCGCAUAGCCUGCAUCUCGCUUGCCAAGCGUGUUAGCUAUGAGACUCUGAAUGAGUAUGGUUCUCAAGUAGCCUUUCAGGUUCGGUUUGAGAAAUCUAAAACAAGUGCAACAAGAAUUCUUUUCCUCACAGAAGGUCUUCUGUUGCGCCAGAUGUCAACAGACUCACUUUUGUCACAGUACAGUGUCAUUGUCAUUGAUGAGGUUCAUGAACGUCACAUCCACACCGACUUUCUGCUUGGUGUUCUGAAGUGUCUGUUAAAACUGCGUUCUGACUUGAAGCUGGUUUUGAUGUCAGCAACCAUCAAUAUUUCUCUGUUCUCAGCAUACUUUGAUGGAGCGCCUGUUAUUAAGGUUCCUGGGCGUUUGUACCCUAUAGAGAUGGAGUACUGUCCCUUCAACAAGGCCAAUGAAAUGUAUGCAAGACCAGAGCGUCUUGACCCUACUCCAUAUAUUCGCAUAAUGCAGAGAAUUGACUCUAAGUAUUCAGCCAGUGAGCGAGGCGACAUGCUCAUUUUCCUGAGUGGAAUGACAGAAAUUAUGACAGUGGUGGAGGCAGCACGGAUGUAUAGCCAGCAGGUCAAAAGAUGGAUCGUCCUUCCACUGCAUAGUGCUUUAUCUGUGGAAGAGCAAGAAAAGGUCUUUGAUUAUCCACCGGAAGGAGUGAGAAAAUGUAUUGUUUCAACAAACAUAGCUGAGACUUCAGUCACCAUUGAUGGAGUUCGCUUUGUUGUGGAUUCUGGAAAAGUGAAGGAGAUGAGUUUUGACCCAAAGUACAAGAUGCAGCGUUUGAAAGAAUUCUGGAUCAGCCGUGCUAGUGCUGAACAGCGAAAAGGAAGAGCAGGGCGGACAGGACCAGGUGUUUGUUUUCGCCUUUAUGCAGAAUCAGACUAUGAUGCUUUCCAGGCAUACACCACCCCAGAGAUACAGCGUGUACCCCUAGAUUCACUUAUCUUGCAACUUGUCUCCAUGGGUUUAACAAAUGUUCGCAAAUUCCCAUUCAUUGAACCUCCAGACAUAUCCAGCAUUGAAAACUCGAUCAGCUAUCUCAAGGAGCAGGGAGCACUGGCAAGCGAUGAGAGCUUGACGCCUAUUGGACAGAUGCUAGCCAUGUUGCCAGUGGAUGUGGUCUUUGGCAAGAUGCUCAUAAUGGGCUCCAUUUUUCACAUGACUGAUCCAGUGCUGUCAGUAGCUGCAGCCUUGAGUGUUCAGUCUCCGUUCACCAGCAAAGCCCAUGUUGACCAUGAUGGCAUUGCUGCCCGCAGAGCUCUUGAGUCAGAUCACGGAGACCCGCUGACUCUACUGAAUGCUUUUGACGAGUGGAUUCAGGUUAAGGCUGAGGGACGUGGGACGCGCAAGUGGUGCCGAAGACGAUGCUUGGAGGAGCAGAGAUUUUACGAAAUGACAAAACUCAAAAAACAGUUUCAACAACUCCUGCAGGAUCACCAUCUUUUGGAUCGAGGUGGUGAUCAAAGGCAAUUCUUGACCAGUGAAGAACGUCGUCUGCAACAUGGGGAAAGAAAACGUUUAAACCAACUUCAGCGUCAGCUGCAGCAGAAAAGAAAAAAGUGUAGAGUCCUUCGCAUGGAAGAUGAGGAAUAUGCAGUUAGUGAUCAGGAAGAGGAUGAUCGGGGCUCUGAUAUCAGAGAUUUGGAGUUUCGUCUGUCACACAACUUGAAUCAGUUACAGGAGACAGCAAAUCACAGCCGUAGCUUCACAUUGCAAGACAUUAACCUGCUGAAGAUCAUCCUGUCUAGUGGCAUCUACCCACAAAUAGCUAUUGCUGAUGACUGCAACUCCUUUAAAGGAGACUCAGACCAGGCCUUCCACACCAAGAGCAAGCCCUUUGUUCUUCUGCACCCCACCAGCAUAUUUGCCAACCACUCCAAUCUCCUGAAGCCAGCAGAAGUGCCUGAGAAACAUGCUGGUCAUAUAGACCUGAAAGGGCAUCUGAGCACUAAGCAUGAGUUGUUGGCAUAUGGGUCACUGCUAGAAACCAAUGGCAAACCUUAUUUGGUUAACUGUAUGCGAGUGCCAGCCCUGCAGACAGUUACGCUCUUUGCUACUGCUAUUGAUACUAAUACAGAUUGUACAAGGCUAGUGUGUGAUGAAUGGCUGGAAAUUCACUUACCAGAUGCAGAGUCUGCAGACCAGGUGAUAUCCAGCAUUGUCAGUCUGAGAGCCACAUGGCAAAGCCUACUGCAGCUACGGCUAGAGGAUACUUUUCAAAGCUUGGAUGAAGACAGAAACAUCAGCCCACGUGCACGGCAGCUGGAACAGCUGUUGGCCCGGAAGCUAGCCGAGUUUUUGGACAGCUGCAUCCCAUACACACUUCGCCGCAUUUUAACUGCAGAGAUAACAAAGCAACAGGGAAGUUAAAUAUCUUGAAGAAAGAUCUCCACUUGAAGAAGGAACACCCCAUCAAAGGUGGCGUUCAAGUAAAUAGCUACCUGACCUUGAACUGCCUGCUAGAUGAAGCAUCAGCCAGUGUGUGGGAAGAGUAUACAGCCCACAUGCAGCGCCACUGGAAGUGCCCUCAGUGUGGUGAGAACAUGGUUGUGUCUGUAACUGAGAGAUUGCACCAUGAAAGCACCUGCCAGCACC
rnacentral:misc_RNA from 1 species